AUGCUCUUGAUAGAUUCUCAUUCGGAAGGAAAAUUUUCUACGGAGGAGGAAACAAUAGUGGUCAAUCUUGCCUCUAAAUGUUUGCAAUAUGAACCGCGAGAGCAGCCUAAUACAAAGGAUUUGGUCAUAACACUUGCUCCAUUGCACGCUGAACCCGAUGUUCGUUCUCAUAUCAUGCUUGGAAUUCCAAAGCAAAGAAAAAGGCCCAUUCCCUGGAGGAAAUUCUUAGCUCAUCCACCUGUUAGGCCCUGCAUGGAAAGAGGGGAAAGCAGAAAAUCAAUUAACAGCAGCUCAACAGCUUAG